CCGGAGGUGGGCUCUGAGCCCUUCUCCCAGAGACAGCAAGGAGAGGGAGCUGCUUUCCUGCCAGGAAGCCCCUAGGCGCUGUCCGAGACAGGUGGUAGGAGGACUAAGGAGGCUGUUCUUGCCAAGCUGGGCCCCAGGCCCCUGAGGCUGGGAAUCUGUUGCCAUCCAGACCCUGCUGAAGUCUAUGCUCAAGGAGCAGCCAUGGCCAGCACUUCAAGUGUGGCCAUCUAUACCUGCACCAGACGGUCUGUUAAUUAGUGCUGGAGUGUCAGAAGUCAUCGCUUUUCAGUGAAAAGAGUGUCGCUGAAGAUGUGUGCUUGGCAAGCAAUACCACACAGGCAUCUCCGCCGGUGCCUAAAGGAGGCCUGCACCCCAGCAGAGCAGAGCCCUGGGUCCAUACCUGCCUCUAAUCGGCCCUGGGCGUCCCCACGCAAUGAUCUGACUGGAAGGUUGGCCAGUCCUUGGUCAACAUGCCCUUGAAUUGACCCAGAGAGAGCUUUCCUGCGAAGGAUGGAGAAUGGGGCUCCCCGGGGCACCUGGGCAGUGGUGGGAGGUCUUUUUUUGUGCUUCUUUGGAAGAGAUGCUGUAAGUGGGGUAGCAUUGAUUUCAUGGUAACAUGCCAGCUGGCGAGGAGGUAUGGGGUGAGCCUACUGUCCUCACCUACCUCUGGGCCUCGGAGGCCACCAUAUCCACGGCAGAGAACCUGACCUGCCCUGUCGGGCACCCUGGGAGGGGCUGCCCAGUCAAGGGAGCAGCUGUGCAAACUGGCAGUGGAGGAGCCCCUACAGGCAGACUCUGCCCCCCCAGUUCCAGGGGAAGACAUUUCCUGGGGGUGGGCCCUCCCUUUAAUAGGUGAGAGGAAAAGAAGGAGGCCAAGAAGGAGAGAGCAGAGAGG
rnacentral:lncRNA from 1 species